rnacentral:rRNA from 1 species
UAUUAAAGGCAAUGCCUGCCCAGUGAGAACUUCUUCAACGGCCGCGGUACCCUAACCGUGCAAAGGUAGCGUAAUCAUUUGUCUAUUAAUUGUAGACCAGUAUGAAAGGCCACAUGAGAGUCAAACUGUCUCUUGUAAUAAAUCAAUUAAACUGAUCUCCCAGUACAAAAGCUGGGAUACCAACAUAAGACCAGAAGACCCUGUGAAGCUUAAACUAACCUAUUAAACCCCAUAAUAGCUACUUUCAGUUGGGGCGACUUUGGAACAAAACAGAACUUCCAAACAACAUGAGCCAUUCCUCAUAUCCUAGGCCAACAAGCCACUACAAGACCCAGUAACACUGAUAACUGAACCAAGUUACUCCAGGGAUAACAGCGCCAUCUUCUUCAAGAGCCCAUAUCAAAAAGAAGGUUUACGACCUCGAUGUUGGAUCAGGACACCCAAAUGGUGCAGCCGCUAUUAAAGGUUCGUUURUUCAACGAUUAACAGUCCU